UAGCGGCGGACGGGUGAGUAACACGUGGGCAACCUGCCUGUAAGACUGGGAUAACUUCGGGAAACCGGAGCUAAUACCGGAUAAUCCUUUUCCUCUCAUGAGGAAAAGCUGAAAGACGGUUUACGCUGUCACUUACAGAUGGGCCCGCGGCGCAUUAGCUAGUUGGUGAGGUAACGGCUCACCAAGGCGACGAUGCGUAGCCGACCUGAGAGGGUGAUCGGCCACACUGGGACUGAGACACGGCCCAGACUCCUACGGGAGGCAGCAGUAGGGAAUCUUCCGCAAUGGACGAAAGUCUGACGGAGCAACGCCGCGUGAGUGAUGAAGGUUUUCGGAUCGUAAAACUCUGUUGUUAGGGAAGAACAAGUACAAGAGUAACUGCUUGUACCUUGACGGUACCUAACCAGAAAGCCACGGCUAACUACGUGCCAGCAGCCGCGGUAAUACGUAGGUGGCAAGCGUUGUCCGGAAUUAUUGGGCGUAAAGCGCGCGCAGGCGGUCCUUUAAGUCUGAUGUGAAAGCCCACGGCUCAACCGUGGAGGGUCAUUGGAAACUGGGGGACUUGAGUGCAGAAGAGAAGAGUGGAAUUCCACGUGUACCGGUGAAAUGCGUAC
rnacentral:rRNA from 1 species